GCUACCAGGCUGCGGUGCUCCAGGGGGGAGGGCUCGCUGUUAAGGCAGAACUGCCUAGUUACUCCCUCUCGUGGUCCUUUGUCUUGGUUGUUUAUGCAGGUGCUUUUCUUUCCCUCUCUACUCUGGGACUUCACAUGCUGGGGUAACAAGAACGGAAGCUUCACACCUUUUCCACUUUGGUCCUCCGACCACCCUCACCCCACUUCACAGCCUUGGAGCCCGGACCUGGACCAGGACAGGUCACCUCCACAAGACCUCUGCCAAGACUCCUUCCCAGCAACCAUCCUGAUCCUCAUUGUACUGUGCAGUGAUAUCACAUUCAACGUUGUCUCCAUUCAAGGGUGUUAUAUCAAUGCUGUUACAUAUUCUGCUGCUCGUAUGUUGUACAUUGCAUUAAUAUGCAUGACAUUAACAGCUGUACACAUUACUCUAUAUGCUGUAUUGGCAACAAGUUACGUAUUAUUUUACAGAGGAGGCUAUGGGACCAGAAGACCAGAAAGAAGGCCUGGUACAAGGUGUUCCUAAGGGAACCAGACUGGAUCCUGACUUUGUGUGGUUAGGAUGCGGGACCAGGCAGGGCAGCACCAGGCCCAGCAGCGCCUCCGGAGCCCAACAGGAUUGGAGAGGGGAAGAGAACCUUCUUCAGCUCCAGGCUUCUGCCUCAACUGAACAAGAGCACUGCUCUGCACCCAGGAAAAGCAGGAAAGAGCAGACGCACAAUGACAGGAACUCACAAGUCACUGAAUUAUUUCAGAUCGGCCUCGGAAAGAACGGGCGCUCGGAUUGGCUCAAGGGUGGAGUGAAGGCGAUGAUGCCCUUGGGGGAGGGCCGCUCAGGCACAUCCGGUAAGCAGACUCCAUUUUCUUCACUCAAGAACCUUUAGAGGAGAUGUCACACGGGGUGUGCAAUCGCAUCGCACACUCUGAGGGAUCAUUCCAGUUAACAGUGAGGCCCAGGACUGCUGCAAGGCUGAGAAAGAUUAAAACUUAACUCCUCUUCCCAAUAAAUGCAGCUAGGCCCUGGACACCUCCUCAUGCCUUCCAUAUUUUCUUUUGUAUGGUAGCAUCAGAUGAUCGAUGCAGGAAGGCCCC
rnacentral:lncRNA from 1 species